rnacentral:rRNA from 1 species
AGAUUGAACGCUGGCGGCAUGCCUUACACAUGCAAGUCGAACGGCAGCGCGGGGCAACCUGGCGGCGAGUGGCGAACGGGUGAGUAAUAUAUCGGAACGUACCCAAGAGUGGGGGAUAACGUAGCGAAAGUUACGCUAAUACCGCAUACGAUCUAAGGAUGAAAGUGGGGGAUCGCAAGACCUCAUGCUCCUGGAGCGGCCGAUAUCUGAUUAGCUAGUUGGUGAGGUAAAGGCUCACCAAGGCGACGAUCAGUAGCUGUCUGAGAGGACGACCAGCCACACGUGGAACUGAGACACGGUCCAGACCUCCGUACGGGAGGCAGCAGGUGGGUAAUUUUGGACAAGUGGGCGACAAGCCUGAUCCAGCAAUCGCCGCGUGAGUAGAAGAACGGUCCGUUGGUUAGUAAAGCUUCUUUUUGUCGAAGGAAGUAAACGGGUAGGA